GCCAGGCCCUAGUGGAGAGCGGGGUCUGGCAGGCCCCCCAGGGAGAGAAGGAGUCCCAGGCCCCUUGGGGCCACCUGGACCACCGGGGUCAGUGGGACCACCUGGGGCCUCUGGACUCAAAGGAGACAAGGGAGACCCUGGAGCAGGGCUGCCCGGGCCCCGAGGCGAGCGUGGGGAGCCAGGCGUCCGGGUACGUAUGUCCUACUCCAUAGCCAAGCUCCCUUCAUCCCAGCUCUUGCCUCUGAUUUCCAACCUCUGAGUCAAUGAACCUAAUGUCCAUCCAGGGUGAAGAUGGCCGCCCCGGCCAGGAGGGACCCCGAGGACUCACGGGGCCCCCUGGCAGCAGGGGAGAGCGUGGGGAGAAGGGUGACGUUGGGACUGCAGGACUAAAGGGUGACAAGGUGAGUGUGGGCGUGGGGAGGGCAGGGCAGGGGCCAGGGUGCUCCCGACUCCUCUGACUCCUCCAUGCCCCCUCAGGGAGACUCGGCCGUGAUCCUGGGGCCUCCAGGGCCACGGGGUGCCAAGGGGGACAUGGGUGAACGAGGGCCUCGGGGCUUGGAUGGUGACAAAGGACCUCGGGGAGACAAUGGGGACCCUGGUGACAAGGGCAGCAAGGGAGAGCCUGGUGACAAGGGCUCAGCCGGGUCGCCAGGACUGCGUGGACUCCCGGGACCCCAGGGUCAACCUGGUGCAGCAGGGAUCCCUGGUGACCCGGGCAAUUCUCUUUGGUCCCUCACUGACCUCCUCUGACCUCACAUGGACCCUCUCCCUGCUAGGGAUCCC
rnacentral:sRNA from 1 species